UACGAAGGGGGCUAGCGUUGUUCGGAAUCACUGGGCGUAAAGCGCACGCAGGCGGAUUGAUAAGUCGGGGGUGAAAUCCCGGGGCUCAACCUCGGAAUUGCCUUCGAUACUGUCUGUCUUGAGUCCGGGAGAGGUGAGUGGAAUUCCUAGUGUAGAGGUGAAAUUCGUAGAUAUUCGGAAGAACACCAGUGGCGAAGGCGGCUCACUGGACUGGUAUUGACGCUGAGGUGCGAAAGCGUGGGGAGCAAACAGG
rnacentral:rRNA from 1 species